GCAAGGGCAAAAAGUUACUAAUCUAAACCAACCUUAAAUCUAAUUUUAGGGUUAAUUCAAAGGUUCAAUUUUGAAGUCAUUAGGGUAAAAAGGUUCAAUUUUGAAGUCAUUAGGGUAAAAAAGGUUCAAUUUUGAAGUUCCAUUGGUGGUCUGGUCUGCCUUUGGCUUCUGCGACAGCUGGAAUUCUCUGCAAUAUCAUGAAGUCGGCAACAUCGGCCACGUCGCUAACGGCGACAAGCUUUAAACUCGGAUCUCCCAGACUCUUAGCCUUGGCGCAGCAGCUGCGUCUAUACAAACCGCCGCUUUCUUCACCGUUCGACGAGGAGAGCACCAGGAAAUUGGUAUCCCACGUUGGGUUUCAGGAACUUAUGGCUCCGGUGAGGCUCACCCUGAAGAAAGCGGCUGUCUUGAUUUGUCUCUUUGAAGGAGACGACGGUGAUUUGCGUGUGAUCCUCACUAAGAGGUCUUCCACAUUGUCUACUCACUCGGGAGAAGUUUCUUUACCAGGUGGUAAAGCAGAAGAGCAUGAUAAGGAUGAUGGGGUCACUGCAACCAGAGAAGCAGAGGAAGAGAUUGGAUUAGACCCUUCUCUUGUUGAUGUUGUUGCCUUCCUCGAACCAUUUCUGUCUCAGCAUCUGCUUAGAGUAACUCCUGUGGUAGGAAUAUUAUGGGACAAAAAAGCGUUCAAUCCAAGGCCAAGUCCUACAGAAGUGGAAGCCGUGUUUGAUGCACCCUUUGAAAUGUUUCUGAAGGAUGAGAACCGGAGAUCCGAGGAGAUUGAGUGGAUGGGGGAAAAGCUUUUGUUCCACUUCUUUGAUUACAAAACAGGAGAUAACGAUUAUGUUAUAUGGGGUUUAACUUCCAGAAUCUUGAUAAGAGCUGCAACAGUGGUUUAUCAACGACCACCGGCUUUCAUUGAACAGAAACCUAACUUGAAGUACUCCAAAAUGAACCAGGCUACUAGUUUAUAUGGAAAGUUGAAGGCGCUGAAUUCUUGCAUCCGCCUUCCUUGGAGAUCUUGUAGCAAAUUUACAUGAAUCUUGUGAAAAAGGACGAUUGCUAGAGGUGUAUCUGUUUGGUCAUGUCCAGGUGUUCUUUAUGAAGCUCAUAUGUGAAAAUCAAGCAUAAACUUCUAGAUCUAGAAUCCAAUCUUUCACCGUCACUUAGAGCACAGACUUUUCAUACUGCCUCCGUUAUUUAUACGUACUAUCAUCAAGACGAUCGUUUUUGUGCAUAUCACAACCAUUUGACCUGAAAGCCAAGAUCUACUCUUGCUUAAUUUUAAGAGCAAUGCAUGUUGUGGUCAUAAGCUGUGAGAAUCAGGCGGGGAAGAAGUACCUUAAUUAUCAACUUGCAUAUAGAACACUUUCUUUUGGGACCUCUCGCAAGCUUACCUUGUUCUUGAGAAUCUGGCAGCAUAGCGCUUUCCAGUGGGUGAAGAAUUGUGUCUGAUAUGAUCUGGAUGGAAUACUCAUUCAUAUGACCUGAAAGCAAAGCUCAUUCUUGGAGAAACUGGCAGCAUUUGUGUUGUAGUUGUGAGGGACUUCUGAUGUUAUCUAGUUUGAGUGGUUCAAGAGUUUACCUUUGUCCUAAUCUGAAUCAGCUGACAUGAAAGUAAAGCUCAUUCUUGGAAAGUCUUUCAGCAUGUUUUUGGAUGAAUCUGAUAUCGCAAAUCAACAAAUUGAAAUUGUCUAAUUCGUCUCAUGCAAGAGAAAAGAUCAUUCUUGAAAAAUCUGCCAGCUUGUGGGUGGUGCUUUCUGACGUUUCCCGGUUGAAUCAAACAUUGGAUUUUGUUUCUGGUGGGAAUAAAUCUAAUACAUCUGAUGCGAAAGGAAAGGUGAAACGGGUGGAACGUGAUGCAACCCUAUCAAGUUCUGACUUUGAUCCUCGCGUUACCAAAUGAUGUCCAAUCACCUUGUCC